UGAUAGUGUAACUUUCUGUUGGUUUACAACAGUAAAAACUUUAAAAGCAUUUUUUUUUAAAUUUGGUUCCCAACAAAUAUAACCUCAAGUUGAUUUUUUAUUUUGAUUUUUGAAUAGCAACAGACAGUUUUCUAUAGAUUGCACGCUGCCAAACUGUGUAAUGGUAGCAUUCAAUCUACUUUUUUUUUCUUCUCUCUCCAUCUUUG